UGGGGAAUAUUGCACAAUGGGCGCAAGCCUGAUGCAGCGACGCCGCGUGGGGGAUGAAGGCCUUCGGGUUGUAAACUCCUUUCGCUAGGGAAGAAGCCACUUGUGGUGACGGUACCUGGAUAAGAAGCACCGGCUAACUACGUGCCAGCAGCCGCGGUAAUACGUAGGGUGCGAGCGUUGUCCGGAAUUACUGGGCGUAAAGAGCUCGUAGGUGGUUUGUCGCGUCGUCUGUGAAAUUCCGGGGCUUAACUUCGGGCGUGCAGGCGAUACGGGCAUAACUAGAGUGCUGUAGGGGAGACUGGAAUUCCUGGUGUAGCGGUGAAAUGCGCAGAUAUCAGGAGGAACACCGAUGGCGAAGGCAGGUCUCUGGGCAGUUACUGACGCUGAGGAGCGAAAGCAUGGGUAGCGAACAGGAUUAGAUACCCUGGUAGUCCAUGCCGUAAACGGUGGGCGCUAGGUGUGGGGGUUUUAUUUACGAUUCCCGUGCCGUAGCUAACGCAUUAAGCGCCCCGCCUGGGGAGUACGGCCGCAAAGCUA
rnacentral:rRNA from 1 species